GAUUGGCUAGAAAGCACUACUUUAGCAAGCAAAAAUACCUGGCACAAGCAUGGACACUCUUUUCUGUUUUUGUGCCUAAGUAAGCAAUCAUCUGUCUGUGUUCUUUACAGGCUGAGAGUGGCCAUUAAGAAAUGAAAGCGAGUUUAGAUUUCACAGGCAUGUUUGGAUUUGACGACAUUUUGCAUUUCCAGAAACCAAGGUCAGCUCAACCCUUUUUGCACUGGGACCGAGAUACCACCAUGAUUUAAGCGAAGAACUACACUGGUGAAUUCAAGGAAGCUGUGCGAGGGGUAACAAUUGCCUGUGACAACUGUCUGCGGAGGAUAUUGUCGUCAGAAAUUCCAAACUGCCCCAGAGCUGUGGCAGGAAAGUCCAGAGAUUAUUAUUGGGUGAAUUUGUAACAUGGUAAAUACAGUAAAAAAGAAGAUUCUGGAAACAAAGUGACUGAACAAAAAUUAAAAGUUUAAAAAGAAAACGAGUGGACUUUCCUCAUUUGGAUACCAUUUCAGAGGCCCAUCUCCUAAUCCUGGUCAAAAGAAGUUGCUGCCAGAGAACCAAAGCCACAGAGUCUAGCAAGCUCAUGGUCCAAUAGAAGCGAUCACCUCAAGUCUGCUUUGGGGUAUCCACACAACUGUGCAACCUUGGUUAAAAAUCACGGAGAUAUUUCUUAAAAGUCCGUGAGCCACGAACACCAGCAGGACAAUGAUACAUCCAUCUAAAAUUUGAUUAAGGGACCUUCCCUACCCUUCCAGAGCAAAACAGUUUGGUGGUAUCUCCACGUCUGAAACAACCUUUUCCCCAGCUUAAUGACAAUUGCCAAAUCUUCCCACAUCCAGAUCUCACAGCGUUAUCAUCCCAAACUUAAUCCAUAGAAGCUGAAGUGAUGGUCUGCAUGAUUCUCUCCUCUUCCCCAGCAUUUGAAAACCAGUUGGUGCAGAUGACCUCCGCUUGCAGGUCUGAGGACACUCUUGAUCCAAUCAAUGAGGAACUUUAAGAAUCCUAAGCUAGUAGCUAACAGAAACUGAUUUUCAGUGACUUUUCCUUGGGUUUUAGAAGCAGAAUGCUAGCUUUCCCCAUUAGAACGGGGCAAGUCCCCAGCCUUGUGCCCUAGUUUGGAUAACUAGAUCCCAGGUUUUAUACUUGUCCACUACCCAAGUUUCUCAGGGGCCAAGGCCAGCGGUCUCCUGUCUUCCUGCAUGCAAACAUUGGGUGGGUACCACUUGAUGUCAGGAACUGUGCCAAGCACUAGAGAGAAGAAUGAAAAUAAAUAGGGCUCAGUCCCUGCUCUGAAAAAAAGCUCACAGUAGAGAGGAGAACAGAGAUAUAUUUUAAGUACUCUACAAGAUGUUCUAAUAGAAGCAGUGGUAAGGAGAACAAAAGUGCAGACUGGUGACCACGCUGGGGUAGAACCAAGAAUAUUUCACACAAGAGGUAACAUCGAGAUGGCACUUAAAAGUAUUCAUGUGGCAGAAAAGGCAGAGGGACAGAAAGAAAUGCAAGAGAGACAUUCUAAGGAGGCAGCACCGCACUUCUGAAGUCAGACCAGCGGUUCUCAAACUUUCAUGUUCAAAGUCCUCACUCCAGGAGUGUUUCUUAAGAUGCACACAGUAGUCCUCACUCUCAGAUUCUGGUUCUGUUGGUCUAACACGGGGUUCAGAAGUUUGGAUCUUUCAUAAACAGGUAGAUCUCAGGCCACACACAUUGAAAAACAGCUGACCGGGGUCACACAGGUGCGUGGUGUUUGAGGGGUGAAGAAGAAAUUGAGGACGCACGGAGCAUGGAUUGUGGGGUGGCAGGUGGGCUGUUACAUAAAGCUAGUCAGCCAGCUCAGAGAGAGAUUGUCAAGAGUUCUAGGCACCUGUGAAGUCCGAAAAAUGAGAUUCUGAGUUACCAAGAGCCACCAUCAGAGGGGCCCAGGGCUGGAUCCCAUCCCUACAGGUGCGACCUCUUGGGUAUCCAUAGCUCAGCAGCAGGGAUGCGGGGAUGAAGACUGGCCUGAGCCCAGACAGCCCACACUCCCAGACCAACUCUGCCACCUGCUAUGUCCUCUUGGCAACUUAUUUAAUCAUCUUGGGCCUCAGUUUUUCCUCUGCAAAAUGGGAAUAAUAGCACCAAAAUGUCAAGGUUGUUCUAAAGAUUAAAUGGUAUAGGACAUAUGUAAUGUCUAUCUCAGGACCUUCCACGAAGUAUCUGUCAUAAUAAAAAUUCAAUUACAGUAUCCAACAUUUAUUGGAAAAGUCAGGCAAAUAGGGCUCCUGGGUGGCUCAGUGGUUGGGCAUCUGCCUUUGGCAAGGGUGUA